UAGUUUUUUUAGAAAUAAAUUUAAUUUACAAAUUUUUGAUUUUUUAGUUAUUUAUUUAAUUGAAAAAUUUAUUUAUUUGAAUAUUUUAAGGGAUAAGCUUUAAAAUAAAUUAUUAAAAAUUAAUAGUGGUAAUAUAAAAUGUAUGCUUAGAAUUAGCAAUCAUUAUAAAGUUUGUUAUAAAUUAUUUUAUAAAUUAUAUUAUUUAUUAUAUUUUAAUUUAUUUAUAAAAAUUUUUUUAUGAAUUAUACAUAAAAAGGAAUAAUGAUAGAAUUAGUAUAUUUUUUUGUAUAUGUAAUUUUAUAUGAUAAGUUUGUAUAAAGAACUCGGCAAAAAUUUUACCCGCCUGUUUAACAAAAACAUGUCUUUUUGAGUUAUUUUUAAAGUCUGACCUGCCCACUGAAGUUAUUUAAAUGGCCGCAGUAUUCUAACUGUGCAAAGGUAGCAUAAUCAUUAGUCUUUUAAUUGAAGGCUGGUAUGAACGGUUGGACGAGGUAUAAGCUGUUUCAUAUAAAUUUAUAAUAGAAUUUUAUAUUUUAGUCAAAAAGCUAAAAUUUAAUUAAAAGACGAGAAGACCCUAUAAAUCUUUAUACUUUACAUUGUUUAAAUUUUUUAGAUUAAUUUUAUUUUUAUAAUUUAAAGUAUUUUGUUGGGGUGAUAUUAAAAUUUAAUGAACUUUUAAUUAUUUAAAAUCAUUAAUUUAUGAGUUAUUGAUCCAUUAGUAGUGAUUAUAAGAUUAAGUUACUUUAGGGAUAACAGCGUAAUUUUUUUGGAGAGUUCAUAUCGAUAAAAAAGUUUGCGACCUCGAUGUUGGAUUAAGAUAUAUUUUUAGGUGUAGCCGCUUAAAUGUGAAGUCUGUUCGACUUUUAAA
rnacentral:rRNA from 1 species